rnacentral:rRNA from 1 species
AUUGAACGCUGGCGGCAGGCCUAACACAUGCAAGUCGAGCGGAGAGGCUGACGGGUGUGUAAUGCCUAGGGAUCUGACUGGUUGUGUGGGAUACCGUACGCAAACGGGCACUAAUACCGCAUACUAUCAGAUGGGCUUAGGGCGGAUUAGUUAGUUGGUGGGGUAAAGGCCUACCAAGGCGACGAUCCGUAACUGGUGUGAGAGGAUGAUCAGUCACACUGGAACUGAGACACGGUCCAGACUCCUACGGGAGGCAGCAGUGGGGAAUAGUGGACAAUGGGCGAAAGCCUGAUCCAGCCAUGCCGCGGGUGUGAAGAAGGUCUUCGGAUUGUAAAGCACGUUAAGUUGGGAGGCGUUACCAACAGAAUAAGCACCGGCUAACUUCGUGCCAGCAGCCGCGGUAAUUC